rnacentral:rRNA from 1 species
UACGGGGGGAGCAAGCGUUGUUCGGAUUUACUGGGCGUAAAGAGCUCGUAGGCGGUCUGUCGCGUCGGCUGUGAAAACCCGCGGCUCAACCUCGGGCCUGCAGUCGAUACGGGCAGACUAGAGUUCGGUAGGGGAGACUGGAAUUCCUGGUGUAGCGGUGAAAUGCGCAGAUAUCAGGAGGAACACCGGUGGCGAAGGCGGGUCUCUGGGCCGAUACUGACGCUGAGGAGCGAAAGCGUGGGGAGCGAACAGG